UACUCGGGGCGGGGUGAAACUCCCCACCGGCGGUAAAGCCCGCGAGCCGUUUUUGACGGUUGAUUCGGUGAAAUUCCGAAGCCGACGGUAAAGUCCGGAUGGAAGAGGAU
rnacentral:ncRNA from 1 species